rnacentral:sRNA from 1 species
GUUAGACUCCUAACCUUCCUUAGAGAUUGGGAGACAAGAGCCCUAUCUUCAGGCAUUGGCUGGAAGAAACAGUCAAUUCAUCCGUCUACCUUGAGUUUUCUCAGGGCCGAGAUCUGGACGAUAAAAUUCAGGAAUAUAAACAAGCUGGAAAAAUCUUUCCAGAAAAUCAAAUAAUAGACUGGUUUAUCCAGCUGCUGCUGGGAGUUGACUACAUGCAUGAGAGGAGGAUACUUCAUCGAGACUUAAAGUCAAAGAAUAUAUUUCUGAAAAAUAAUCUACUUAAAAUUGGAGAUUUUGGAGUUUCUCGACUCCUAAUGGGAUCCUGUGACCUGGCCACAACUUUAACUGGAACUCCCCAUUAUAUGAGUCCUGAGGCUCUGAAACACCAAGGCUAUGACACAAAGUCGGACAUCUGGUCACUGGCAUGCAUUUUAUAUGAGAUGUGCUGCAUGAAUCAUGCAUUCGCUGGCUCCAAUUUCUUAUCCAUUGUUUUAAAAAUUGUUGAAGGUGACACACCUUCUCUCCCCGAGAGAUAUCCAAAAGAACUAAAUGCCAUCAUGGAAAGCAUGUUGAACAAGAAUCCUUCAUUAAGACCAUCUGCUAUCGAAAUUUUAAAAAUCCCUUACAUUGAUGAGCAGCUACAGAACCUAAUGUGUAGAUAUUCAGAAAUGACUCU